ACACACUGCAUUGCAUGGUAGAGAACGAUGAGAUUGAUGAGAGUGAUGAAAGGAAGAGAGAUGGGGUGAGUUAGAGAUAGGGGUCGUGGUCAUUUCUCUGGCGCCCGAGACCCAUUUGUAGGGUCAGUGGGUCUGCUGCUUUUAUUGCUUUCUUUGUCCUUUUCACCUUUUCAUCUCUCUUCCUGCCCUUUUUAUCUCCUUGUUUUCCUUGCUCGUUUCUCAUUCACCAUGAUCAUACAGACCCAUCUCUCUCUUUCUCUCCCCCCUUAACUCUUUAUAUCUUUCGCCUCUCUCACAAUCUGUUUGGUUUAGAGGUCCUUUUUCUUGAGGAAAUAAAUAAGGGUGGUCUAGAGUUUGCUUAGGUUAAUUAGGUUUUUGAUUGAGAAAGAGGGGGGGGGAAUAGAAAUGGAAGCUAUUUCUUUUGAGGGGAAUGUUGUCUGGCUCGAGGUCACUAAUGGGAUCUAUGAUUUUAUCUCAAUUGAUUGAUUUUCUUUUAAAUUCUAGUAAAUUGAAUUGAGAGAUAUCAUGAUCAACUUAUAUUUAAUGAUGUCGGACCAGGCUUCAUUCCCCCCAAUUGUUUCUUCCUUUCAAAUCGUUGAUCACUACAAUUAAUUUCCCUUCCAUUUUUGGUCUGGAUCUAAAAGAUGGUUGUAUACUUGUCUCUUCAUCUUUCUGUGCCACUUUUGAGAGUGGUAGUGGGUGGUAAUCUCCUCUCCUCUCCUUUUUGUUUUGUUUCUGCUUUUUCUUUAUCUUAUGGUUACCUUUAUGUUAAAGCUUAGAUCUGUGCCCUUUGGUCAACUCAUGUCCUUUGCAUGCUUGAAGAGAUCAUGGGCUACACCCAGCUGUUGCAUACGUAUGGAAAGUAGCUAGCUAGGGUUCCGUCCUUGAAUUUCCAUAACUUUUUUCUUAUGUAAUGUAGCUUAUAUUUGUAAGAUAAUUUGAUCCUUUGCUAAAACAAUUUAGUUUUCUUCUGUGAGUCAUUUGCUGGCGUGAAGCUUCUUCCAUUACCUUAGAGAGAGGUGGAAGAAUGAUUAAUCUUUCAACUUGCUAUAUAUGCUGAUCCAUCUAUUACUUGAAGUGAAACCCUGUUAUAACCUCUCUGGCUUGUGCAUAAACUAUGCUGUGGUUCUGUGCAUUUCACUCUAAAGAAGAGAAUAUGAUGUGAUGGACUGGACCUUUGAUUUUGCUUGACCAUGCAGUCUUCUUCUGCCAUACAUGAGCAUGGCAGCAACUUGUAGUUUUGGACUAAAAGCUUUUGCUCCUGUCUUCUCUAAAAAGCUAGAAAUCUAAAUUCCUAACAUUCGAGGGGGAAACUUUGAUAUGCUUUACACUGGUAUGCAAAUUUUUGUUUUCAUGUUAAAAUGUAGAGAUAUUGAGCCUUUUUUUUGGCUGAAUAGUGACCAUAUUGUUGUGGUGUAGUUCUUUGCCGCAAUUUCAUAUACAACAACAACAACAAUCUAUGCCUUCAUUUGUUGGCUAGAUUAUGUUAUUAAUGUUAAGAAUUACAAGAAAAUGUAAGACAUAAACAUCCUCUCCGUGUGGUUUUGAUAAUUUACACAUGCACAUGAUUCUAAUUUAAUUAGGUUAAAGAGAGUUCAUUAUGUACUAACAGGAAAUCAAACACAAAACUAAGUGAAGGUGGUUACUCUUUAAGUUCUCUUAUUUGUAGAGUCCAUAAGGGAACAAAAACCGUAGAAAGAUGAAAGAAAGAUGGAUAUGUAGAAAAGGAAACAGGUGAUCGGAAAGGUAGAACCGGGGGAAGAAUUAUGGCUAGAAAGGUGCCUCAUCAAGAAGACAACCUUGAUGUGUCUUCUUUGAUAGGCGUUUUUGCUUAGCUUAGACUUUUCUUAUUUGCUUGGCGUUGUGGAGUAGUGCGUUCCAAUUUUCUCUUAUUCUGUCAUCAAUUUCUAAGUCCGAGCCAUAUGUAACACUGAAUGCCUUUAAUGGUCUGACUCUCUCUCUCUCUCUCAUUAUUUACUAUUAAACAGUUUAGUCACAUCAGCAUUGAUGCCAUGGAUUCCUCUUUACCCUGACUGUGAUAAAUGACGACUAUGAUGUAUCUAUUAUUUGGAAGAAGUCAGAACUGUGUGCUAUUAGACCGCAUUGUUUGAAUUUUGUAUUUCAAGAAGUUAUUAAGAAUCUAGUACAGUUAUGUCAGCUUAAUUGGUGCAACCCUCUUUUCCAUCUCUCAGAGUUACUCUGUGGACUGUUCUUUGAGUUGCACAUUCGCAUAAUACAAACCCAGAUUAUUCAGGGAGCAACUUCGAUGUGCAAUUGGUAUUUUGCCUUGAAAGUGUUUCGAUUCUUGGAAAAUGGAGGUUUUCAAUUUGCGCUUCCUCGAUCUGGUGGAUACAUAAACUGCAUUUCUUGGAAUUCAUUUUUGUUGACUCAGUGUUUUCUGGUUUUGAUUUUCUAAGCCCUCAAAGUAUGUGUCUAGCUGAGAGAGUGAGAGGGAGAGUUCAUUACCCAAAACCUGAGUUCUUCAUCUCCCAAAAACAACAAUAAAUAAAUAAAAAUAGAACAAAAAAUUCAUGUUGCCCAAGACAUCAUGAGUUCCCCCAACCCAACACAGAGCUAGUAAGAAACAACAAUACUGCUAUGUGUAUAUCUAAUUAAUUAAUUAUUAUUAUUCUUAUUCCUAUUAAUUUUGAUU